GCAAUAGCCUCGCUCCUCCCUGCCUGGGGGUCUGAUCCUGCCCCUGCCGGGGUGAUGCUGAGUCCCCCGAAUCCACCCCUCUCCCUCUCCCACAGGGUGCCGAUGGCCAGCCUGGUGCUAAAGGUGAAACUGGGGAUGCUGGAGCCAAGGGUGAUGCCGGUCCCCCCGGCCCUGCUGGCCCCACUGGUGCUCCUGGACCUGCUGGUGCUGUUGGUGCUCCUGGUCCCAAAGGUGCUCGCGGAAGCGCCGGACCCCCUGGUGCUACUGGUUUCCCUGGUGCUGCUGGACGAGUUGGACCCCCCGGCCCCUCUGUGAGUACCCCCAGGGGUGAGAGGUGUGGGGGCCGGGAGGGUGCCUGUGAUGGGGAAUACGGGAGGUGCUGGGCACCCAUCCAGGCUGCUCCAUGUGGCCUCCCUGUCCCAUCUGGCACCGGGAUACCCCUGGCCGCCCUUCAGCUGGCAG
rnacentral:lncRNA from 1 species